UGGGGAAUUUUGGACAAUGGGCGAAAGCCUGAUCCAGCCAUGCCGCGUGAGUGAAGAAGGCCUUCGGGUUGUAAAGCUCUUUUAGUCGGAAAGAAAAGAUCAUAAUGAACAAUUAUGAUUCAUGACGGUACCGACAGAAAAAGCACAGGCUAACUACGUGCCAGCAGCCGCGGUAAUACGGAGGGUGCGAGCGUUAAUCGGAAUUACUGGGCGUAAAGGGUGCGCAGGCGGUUUUGUAAGUCAGAUGUGAAAUCCCCGGGCUUAACCUGGGAAUUGCGUUUGAAACUAUAAGACUAGAGUGCAAGAGAGGGGAGUGGAAUUCCAUGUGUAGCAGUGAAAUGCGUAGAGAUGUGGAAGAACACCGAUGGCGAAGGCAGCUCCCUGGAUUGACACUGACGCUCAUGCACGAAAGCGUGGGGAGCAAACA
rnacentral:rRNA from 1 species